GGAAUGUAGCUCAGUGGUAGAGCUUUUUCCUAGCAUGUAUGAGGCCCUGGGUUUGAUUCUCAGCACCA
rnacentral:tRNA from 1 species